AUAUUUACAGAGUGGAGAGAAACUCCACUGAGGAACUUUACCUCCUUGUUUCUAAUGAAUCUGUCUCUCAGUGAUCUCAGAUCAGCCCUCCUUCAUGUUCAGCCUGCAGCGCUGUCACUUCCUGCAUGUGAUUAAACUCUUUGUGUAGGGCCCCGUGUCUCCUGAUGAGCUCUGAGUGAAGAAGCAAAACCAGAUGAGCUUCUACACAGUCACUGCUCUCACCUACAGAGAGGAAGAGAUUAACUGGACUGACUGAGUGGAGGAGCGAUGGGACAGACAGCUUUUCUGCUCUUGCUGAUCUCUCUGCUGAGCUGCAGGACCAGCGGAGCCUCUCUGACUGUGAGUCCCAGCA